CUACAGCGGCCACGGCACGCGCCUGCCCGCCGAGACCGGCCGGGACGAUGACACCGGCUACGACGAGUGCAUCGUCCCCUCCGACAUGAACCUCAUCACAGCGGAGGAGGCAUACCGAUGGCAGGUUGUAGCAAAUCAGGAGGCCGCCGCCGUCGGGGGACGCUGCCGAGUGGAGAAACUACGUGGACGGUGGACGCUGCCGAGUGGAAAAACUACAGCGGACUGGUGAGAUAACUGAAAUUUCAUAACAGCGACUCCAUGCAUGGUAUGUUCCCCUUUUGCCAUAUUUUACAUACGCAUCUUAUAUAUUCUUUGAGAUCUAAGCCCUUAGAGACAAUAGAUUCUGAUCUUCUGGUCUUUGCCUGCUGAUGCUUUUAUUAUUCAAAGUGGUUCAGUUCCAGUACGUACACACUAGCCAUAUUAUGACUUGCAGGAUUUUUUUUACUUUUUGUACAUUCCCAUUUAAGUUUUCUUGCGAUAGCACACUAAUUAACAGAAAAACCUUAUGGCAUACGACCUUUUCUAUGUGUGACGUAUAUGUAAAGUUAGUUUUCUCUUUAAAACAUCAUCCGUAGAUAAGCUGAAUUAGAGGGAAAUUCAUGGAAAGUGAACCAGCAUACAAACCAUAGUAAUAAUCCCAGUGAACUAGCUCUACAGACUAGCAUACAUGUUAUUUAGAAACAAGGGGUUCGCCAUGCUACAACAGAUUCCUGACUAAAUUUAUCUAUUCUACUUGGUCUUUUGAUUUGAAACAUCUAUAUAUUCCUCAUAAACAUAUUGGUUUUGCUACCAGCAGUAGGUGCUUUCUUUGUUCUGCAGCUGGGAUUUCAGUAAAAAAAAUGUUUAACCUUUAGUGAAUAUGCACAGUACCAAAACUUUGUUCUGCAGCUCACACGCCGCAUCCGUGGCGAGAGGGCCUAGGCUGCUCUGUGCACGUCGUCGUCUUAGCCAGUUGUGUUAAUCGGUGGAAAUGCGAGAGGGCCACGCCUCACUAGUAAUCUUGUUGAUUGCCUCUGAACCUGAAUGAACAGCCUUGCUCGUUUAGUUCUGUGUGUCCAUAUGAUUUAUGCCUUACUAUUUUAUUCUGUUGUUCCUUUUGAUCCCUGUGACUGUUGCAAUCAACUCUCACAUGUACCAUGAUGCUAACUGGUAAAUUAGGACAAGAUAUGUUUCUAUUUUGCACUGCUCAUACUGUACAUACUGUGAUUCAUCUGAUGGGUUUCUUGCACCUGCAAAUGACAGCGUCAUGAUGUUGUCAACGGUGUGGCAGAGACAGAAGGUGUAACCAAAUAUGAUGCAGGUGAAGCUGCUGCAGAUCAGAAAGAGCAAAAAGGUUCAACAACCAUGAAAUCCUAGCUGAGGACGUGCGAGACUGGGAUAUAGCCAGUGACCGGGGGCAAGGGCAGCGUGCGCAGGGUGAUCGACAAGGACUACUGUGGCCCGAUGGGAGUCGUGCUCUUCAACUACUCGGAGGCAGACUUCACCGUGAAGCCCCGCGACCGCGUCAUACAGAUUAUCGUCCAGGUGAUUGCAACGCAGGAGGUCCCCGGGUUGGAGGACCUCGACGCCACCGUCCGGACGUCACCGAGGUGGAGGACGACGCCACCGUCCGGAGUUCCUCAAGGUGGAGGACCUCGACGCUUUGUACAUACAUCUAGAGAAGUGGUCUGGUUAGGUUGGUGGUGAAACGCUAGGGAAGGUACCAACCUUUUGAUGAUGGUUGUGUGUGUCCUCGUAAUCUCUUCGAGUUGAGAUGUUGAAUGAUGCAUCCAUGAACACUACAAGUGUUAAGAUGGUUCUAUGAAAUUUAUUUUGCACUGGACGUGUCUCUGAUCUCCAUUCAUGAAUACUGC
rnacentral:rRNA from 1 species